rnacentral:rRNA from 1 species
AGGACACGGCUGGCGGCGUGCUUAACACAUGCAAGUCGAACGAUGACGAUGGUGCUUGCACCGUCUGAUUAGUGGCGAACGGGUGAGUAACACGUGAGUAACCUGCCCUCCUCUUCGGGAUAACCGCCGGAAACGGUGGCUAAUACCGGAUAUGGAUGCCUGCCGCAUGGUGGGUGUUGGAAAGAUUUAUCGGUGGGGGAUGGACUCGCGGCCUAUCAGUUUGUUGGUGAGGGUAAUGGGCUCACCAAGGCGAUGACGGGUAGCCGGCCUGAGAGGGCGACCGGCCACACUGGGACUGAGACACGGCCCAGACUCCUACGGGAGGCAGCAGUGGGGAAUAUUGCACAAUGGGCGAAAGCCUGAUGCAGCGACGCCGCGUGGGGGAUGACGGCCUUCGGGUUGUAAACCUCUUUCAGCAGGGAAGAAGCGAGAGUGACGGUACCUGCAGAAGAAGCGCCGGCUAACUACGUGCCAGCCGCCGC